CUGGGGGAUUGGGCUGGAGGCUCGCUUACAUCCUCUCUGCAGAUGAGGUGUGCUCAGCUGCCCUGAGGUCCCUCUUCUCUCUGCUUCCCAUCUUCCAAGAGAUACUUCAGUCGGGGCCAAGGCUAACCCCGGAGUCCUGGGCCCUGCAGCGUUUCCCUUUGACGCUAACACUCCCUGCCCCAUUCUUCUCUGCUGCCCUUGGUUUCUUUGUAUUUGUGGUCACAUUCAUGGGGAGGGGUUGUAAGCCUGUAAAUGAGGUGAUCCCAAAUCUGAAAGCCCCAAAUCCCCAAAUCCCCAAAUCCUCCCAAACCUGAAAGGAGCAUUGACGUCACUUCACAGAUGGAGAGCCGUACGCCUGGCUUCCUGCACGGUCUCAGUCAAAGCAGGUGCAGCAAAGCAAUUGGAUAAAAUCAUCUCCAGGCUCUGUAUGAGGGGAGGAAACCGAGGCACAGAGAGGCAGCUCGUUUGCACCAGGCUGGAGCAUGGGUAGCUGUGGCUCCCAGGUUCCCUGUUGGCAUCUCCUGUCCCCCGCGCCCCCAAGCACCAGGGCUGAGGCUCUGCCGGGUGCUCACAAGUCUCUAUCUGUCUGUGUUCUGUCUUUUCUGUCUGUUGAGGUUGUGACAUGGGCCUCAGUCAAUGGCAUGUGUGUGACAGGGUGGGAGCUGGGGUCUCUGCAACCCCCUCCAGGGCCUAGUGAGUUUAGCUGGGCUGGCAAGGGGCAGGAGGUGGAUGGACCACCAUCUGUUCUGGGGGUUUGGAUGUAUCCCCCAAGGCUUAUGUGAUGGAGGUUGGUACCCAGGAGGGUAGGUAAUGGGAACAGUAAGAGGUGGGACCUGGUAGGAGAUUGGUGGACGUGCUUGCUGUCAUGGCCUUGAUCCCUUGGGACCUUGGUUAGUUCUCCUUAAGGAGGUUGAAUGGAAAAGUUAAGACCAGCCCCUUCCUGCUCUCGGGCUUCCUGUCUUGCUAUGUGAACUCUGUGGUGCCAUCAGCCAGGAGGUGACAAGCCAGAGCUGGUGGCCUGCUGUUGGGACUUCUGAGCUAAAUAAAUAUCAUUUCCUUAUCAAG